CCCGCCUCUUAUUUUCCCACUACUCCACCACCUACUCCAAACUUCCAAACGCCUAAACAGAAGUUAAAGAACUGCAUAACUCCUCCCUUUCCUUUCCCAUCUUUCUCUUCCUGAGGUGAAUCUGAGUGUUAAAACUUCAUUCUCCGGCGCUUCUUCUUCACGGAAAUCACCAGCCGGAUUCUUCGUGCUCAAGAAUCUCAAAUCUUCCCAGACGCCGACCUCAAUCUUCAUCCCGAUUCUCCUAAAACUACUGAUUCUACUCCGUCUUCCUGCAAUUUCUCAAUUUUCUUCUUUUAAUCCGAUUUUAGGGCAUGAAUUCGAUUUUAUGUUAUUAUAAUUGAUUAUUAGAACUAGUUUGGAAAUUUAUUUUGUUUUAAUUGAAGGGUAAGGUAAUGUCGGAAAUUAGAUCGGGUUUCUGGACGAUUAUGGAUAUGUCAAGCAGUCGUUAUCUCUGGAACUAUUUCUCUGCUGCUACAGCUAAGAGCUUGCCUUAAUUCUUUUUUAACACGAUAUAAUAUGUGUUGUUGUUGUCGUAGUUGUUGUUGGUGGAGGUGGUGAUGAUGUUUCUGAUAAUUUGAAGAAGAUACAUUGUUGGUAACUGUAACUAAGGCUAGUGAUCAUGAUGAUGAUGAUUGUUGGCGUUCUAUUCAAUUGAUGUAUUGCUGUAAUUUUCUACAACUUUGUAUGUAUAUACACUAAUACACUUGUUUGUACUGAUAUUUAAAUCGUUUGAUUUCCUACUUAUUUUGUGAUGUUUGCUUGUGUUUGUGCUUCUCUUUGUUUAUCUUGAUUUAGUAUUAGAGGAGGAUACAGAUGAGGUAAUUAAAGUAUGUGAGUUUUAGUUGUAAGUUAUUUCCUAUAAAUGUGGCUUCUCUAAAGCAAAUUCGAUAUGAGUACUAUGGUUAUUAUGGAUAUGUGAACUUUGAUGGUUGUGGUCUGGUUAAUUCAAAUUGCGUAUCUUGUGACAAUGCUCUUUCUUCUUUGGUUGUUCUUCCGCAUAUCUGUAUACUUUUCCUUCUGUUUUCUCUCAUGCUUGACAACCUUAUGAAGUCAAGCAUGUUUGCUCUAUAAUAUCUAGUCGCUGUAUCAAUGCUACAGUUGAAAGGUUAUUAUUUUUGUUGGUCAAGUGCUUGAUCAUUGUAAAGUUGCUGCAACUGUUCUAUGUUUUGACACAUAAGUUUUGUUUAGCAUCUUGUAAGGUUAGUUUGCAGUUAGAAAUUUUUCUUUGAGUAUGAGAAAGCACAUUCUUGCAAUCUCCGUUGCCCUUUCUAUUUCAAUAGUCUUAUCUGCAUACCUACAUGGCUACAUUCUGAUUUCUUCCGUAAAUUAAAUUGUAUGCAAUGCAGAGCUGAUAUCUGAAAUAAAAGGGGAAUCAGAAAAUGGAAGGUUACCAACUGUUUCAGCAAUUUUUUAAAAGUGGAUGCACUUUGGUUUGAUAAGGUAGAAAUGGAGAGAACAAUGAACGAGUGGAGCUCUCUACCCAAGUUGACACACUUACUGCAUCAAAUGAGGAGUUGAGAGUAUCAAAUGAGCAGCUUAAAGCAUCUAAUGAAGAGCUUAAAGCAUCUAAUGAGGAGUUCAAAGCAUCGAAUGAGGAGCUUAAAGCAGAAUUUUCUAGAAUGAACAAGGAAGCUAUUGAACGUGAACAGAAACUGAGAGAAGAUAUGCUGAAAAUGUUCGAGGACAUGAGGAACAAUGGGUCAAGAAUAUCGUCCUAAUUUGGGUCGGGGAGAGCUCUUUGAAGUAUGAUUGAGCAUUCGAGUUUGUCGUAUAUGAACUCCUUAGACUACAACUAGUGUUAAGAAUUUAGUUAUUUCCAAACUUUUAGUUUAGAUGAUUACAUCUAUGCAUCCGAUGAUAGAGUCACAUGUAUGAAUUUAUAUUUUUAUUUAUUUUAUUGUAUUUGGAUAAAUAUGUACUUGUUAUUCAAAAUUG